rnacentral:rRNA from 1 species
UACGUAGGUGGCAAGCGUUGUCCGGAUUUACUGGGCGUAAAGAGCGCGCAGGCGGUCGUUCAAGUCGCGUGUGAAAGCCCCCGGCUCAACUGGGGAGGGUCACGCGAUACUGAUCGACUCGAAGGCAGGAGAGGGUAGUGGAAUUCCCGGUGUAGUGGUGAAAUGCGUAGAUAUGGGGAGGAACGACCGGUGGCGAAGGCGGCCACCUGGACGGUCACUGACGCUGAGCACGCGAAAGCGUGGGUAGCAAACAGG